UACGUAGGGUGCAAGCGUUGUCCGGAAUCAUUGGGCGUAAAGCGUGCGUAGACGGCUAUCUAAGUCGGGUGUGAAAGCCCCGGGCUCAACCUGGGAAUUGCAUUCGAGACUGAAUAGCUAGGGUACGGUAGAGGGAAGUGGAAUUUCCGGUGUAGCGGUGAAAUGCGUAGAUAUCGGAAGGAACAUCAGUGGCGAAAGCGACUUCCUGGACCAGUACCGACGUUCAGGCAUGAAAGCGUGGGGAGCAAACAGG
rnacentral:rRNA from 1 species